UACGUAGGGUCCGAGCGUUAAUCGGAAUUACUGGGCGUAAAGCGUGCGCAGGCGGUUUUGUAAGCCAGAUGUGAAAUCCCCGAGCUUAACUUGGGAACUGCAUUUGGGACUGCAAAGCUGGAGUACGGCAGAGGGAGGUGGAAUUCCACGUGUAGCAGUGAAAUGCGUAGAGAUGUGGAGGAACACCGAUGGCGAAGGCAGCCUCCUGGGCUAGUACUGACGCUCAUGCACGAAAGCGUGGGGAGCAAACAGGAUUAGAUACCCUGGUAGUCCACGCCCUAAACGAUGACAACUAGUUGUUGGGGAUUUAACAUCCUUAGUAACGCAGCUAACGCGUGAAGUUGUCCGCCUGGGGAGUACGGUCGCAAGAUUAAA
rnacentral:rRNA from 1 species